GGAGAUAGCUCAGUAGUAGAGCACAUGCCUAGCAUGCAUGAGGUCCUGGGUUCAAUCCCCAGUACCUCCA
rnacentral:tRNA from 1 species